AGGAUUUACAUGUAUUACUGGAAGACUGAUCUGCUAUUGCAAAUACGCUGUAGGUAGAGAGAACGACUGGCUGGUGUUGUUUUGCCAUAAAGACAGUGGCCUCUGUAAGCCAAGACAUUCUGCACCGUCUGAGGAUCUCUGCAGUCUCUUAAACUCCUCUGCCGAGACAGGAACAUUUGAAAAACAAUUACACUGUUUCUGGCAAAGU